rnacentral:rRNA from 1 species
GUCCUUUAGAAUUUAUUAUUUAAGGUCUAACCUGCCCACUGAAUUAUUUUAAAUGGCCGCAGUAAAUUGACUGUGCAAAGGUAGCAUAAUCAUUAGUUUUUUAAUUAAAAGCUUGUAUGAAUGGUUUGACGAAAUAAAAUCUGUCUCUAAAUAAUAAUAAGAAUUUAAUUUUUAAGUUAAAAAGCUUAAAUUUUAAUAAAAGACGAGAAGACCCUAUAGAUUUUUAUAUUAAAAUUAUUAAUUUUAUUUAGGAUUUUUUUUAUAAUUAUUAGUUUUAUUAUUAUAUUGGGGUAAUAGGAAGAUUAAAAAAAUUCUUUUUAAUUUUAUACAAUAAUAAUUGUUUAAAUGAUCCUUAAUUUGAGAUAAUAAGAUUAAGUUACCUUAGGGAUAACAGCGUAAUUUUUUUAAAGAGUUCAUAUCGAUAAAAAAGUUUGCGACCUCGAUGUUGGAUUAAAAAUUAUUCUAGGUGUAGAAGUUUAGAAAUUUUGGUCUGUUCGACCAUUAAAUUUUU